rnacentral:piRNA from 1 species
UCGUCCUAUGUGUCAAGCAGA